AACCCAGAGGUCGAUGGAUCGAAACCAUCCUCUGCUAAUUGGGCUGAAGACUCAGCUUCCAAGGGUCUCCUGCUCCCCAUUUUCUCCCCACCACAACAGCGUUGUGAGGGAGCUUGAAACGGCUUACAUAACGUUGCUCUUCUUUCUCUCCAUGGUAUUUUCACAACAUCCCUGAGAGGUAGGCCAACCCAAGAGUCGAUGGUUGCCCAAAGUCACCCAGUGAGCUUCAUGGAUCUCGGGAGUGCCAGGCCAUCAACCAAAUCGCUAUGACACGCCGGCCUCUUAAUAAAGCCCCACAUGCUUUGGGACCAGACUACCCGAAGGAUGGCCUAUUGUGCAAACCUGCCUGGUUCUUAAGAUCUCCUGGAAGGGGCCUUGUUUCAAGAUCACUGCUUUCAGAGGAAGGCCUGGUAGUGACUCGGGAUUUUUUGUGGUUCUCAGACUGUGGAGUUCUCUUCCAAAUGAUCCUACGUUCACACCCUCGCUGCCAUCCUGUAAGCAUGCAAAGACUGCUUUUUUUUUAAAGGUGUUUGGUCUGUAAGUAGGUCUGUUGACUUGGGUUCUGUUUUUAAUUCUCAGUAGUGUUGUUGCUGGUGGUAGUGGUAACUGCUGCAUUUUGACUGCGUUUUAAUAUACUAUUUUAAUUAGUUUCAAUUAACUUUAAGUACUGUCUUCUAGUGGAAAGGCAGGACACAGACCAAACCGAUAUCUAAUGAAUGCAUAAACAAGCUGGAUUCACAA